rnacentral:rRNA from 1 species
GUCUGUUAAGUCAGAUGUGAAAUCCCCGGGCUUAACCUGGGAACUGCAUUUGAAACUGGCAGGCUAGAGUCUCGUAGAGGGGGGUAGAAUUCCAGGUGUAGCGGUGAAAUGCGUAGAGAUCUGGAGGAAUACCGGUGGCGAAGGCGGCCCCCUGGACGAAGACUGACGCUCAGGUACGAAAGCGUGGGGAGCAAACAGGAUUAGAUACCCUGGUAGUCCACGCUGUAAACGAUGUCGAUUUGAAGGUUGUGGUCUUGAGCCGUGGCUUUCGGAGCUAACGCGUUAAAUCGACCGCCUGGGGAGUACGGCCGCAAGGUUAAAACUCAAAUGAAUUGACGGGGGCCCGCACAAGCGGUGGAGCAUGUGGUUUAAUUCGAUGCAACGCGAAGAACCUUACCUACUCUUGACAUCCAGAGAACUGAGCAGAGAUGCUUAGGUGCCUUCGGGAACUGUGAGACAGGUGCUGCAUGGCUGUCGUCAGCUCGUGUUGUGAAAUGUUGGGUUAAGUCCCGCAACGAGCGCAACCCUUAUCCUUUGUUGCCAGCGAUUCGGUCGGGAACUCAAAGGAGACUGCCGGUGAUAAACCGGAGGAAGGUGGGGAUGACGUCAAGUCAUCAUGGCCCUUACGAGUAGGGCUACACACGUGCUACAAUGGCGCAUACAAAGAGAAGCGAUCUCGCGAGAGUCAGCGGACCUCAUAAAGUGCGUCGUAGUCCGGAUUGGAGUCUGCAACUCGACUCCAUGAAGUCGGAAUCGCUAGUAAUCGUGGAUCAGAAUGCCACGGUGAAUACGUUCUCGGGCCUUGUACACACCGCCCGUCACACCAUGGGAGUGGGUUGCAAAAGAAGUAGGUAGCUUAACCUUAGGGAGGGCGUUUACCACUUUGUGAUUCAUGACUGGGGUGAAGUCGUAACAAGGUAACC